GGGCUCGUGGUCUAGCUGGCUAUGACGUCGCCUUCACACGGCGGAGGUCAGGAGUUCGAAUCUCCUCGAGCCCA
rnacentral:tRNA from 3 species